CUUCCGUAGGUGAACCUGCGGAGGGAUCAUUACAAGUGACCCCGGUCUAACCACCGGGAUGUUCAUAACCCUUUGUUGUCCGACUCUGUUGCCUCCGGGGCGACCCUGCCUUCGGGCGGGGGCUCCGGGUGGACACUUCAAACUCUUGCGUAACUUUGCAGUCUGAGUAAACUUAAUUAAUAAAUUAAAACUUUUAACAACGGAUCUCUUGGUUCUGGCAUCGAUGAAGAACGCAGCGAAAUGCGAUAAGUAAUGUGAAUUGCAGAAUUCAGUGAAUCAUCGAAUCUUUGAACGCACAUUGCGCCCCCUGGUAUUCCGGGGGGCAUGCCUGUUCGAGCGUCAUUUCACCACUCAAGCCUCGCUUGGUAUUGGGCAACGCGGUCCGCCGCGUGCCUCAAAUCGACCGGCUGGGUCUUCUGUCCCCUAAGCGUUGUGGAAACUAUUCGCUAAAGGGUGUUCGGGAGGCUACGCCGUAAAACAACCCCAUUUCUAAGGUGACCUC
rnacentral:rRNA from 1 species